GAGCAGCUGUGGCUGCGGGCG
rnacentral:misc_RNA from 1 species